GCUACAAUGGGUAUUACAGAGGGCUGCGAAGGUGCGAGCUGGAGCGAAACUCAAAAAGGUACUCUUAGUCCGGAUUGCAGUCUGCAACUCGACUGCAUGAAGUCGGAAUCGCUAGUAAUCGCAGGUCAGAAUACUGCGGUGAAUACGUUCCCGGGUCUUGUACACACCGCCCGUCACACCAUGGGAGUGGGUUGCUCCAGAAGUAGAUAGCUUAACGAAUGGGCGUUUACCACGGAGUGAUUCAUGACUGGGGUGAAGUCGUAACAAGGUAGCCGUAGGGGAACCUGCGGCUGGAUCACCUCCUUAA
rnacentral:rRNA from 1 species